rnacentral:tRNA from 1 species
AAUGUAGUUCAGUGGUAGAACUUUGGCUUCCCAAACCAACAGCGGGGAUUCGAUUCCCCCUAUUCG